AUCCAUCUCCUUCCCCCUCUCUUUCUUUCCCUCUCUGUCGUUUUCUUUCUCUCAGCUGCCCAAACAACAAGGCCUGAAAAAGAUUGCAGUUCAUUUCAAAGCGCAGUGGAUGGAGGCCUCAUUUACGCGCUCCUGGCAACUCAAUCAGCCCAGCCAGCCCUGAUGAUGUCCCCAGUGUCCUCUAUUACCCAGCGCCCCACUGAACAUGCUCUGCAGUCUGCUGACCUCCUGCCCUGCCUGUCACCCUGAUGGCUACUGUUAUCCUGGGCUACUUAUUUCACCAAAACGGCCCUUUGUUCCUCCUUGUAUUGAAAACAUCAAGCCAAGCCAAUUACAGGCAACAGACCGGUCAUUUCUAGAAAGGCACAACAUGACCAGACACUGAAAGCAAACACCUCAGCCAAUCAGAACUGUGUGUGGACGGGUCCUGUCAAGCCUCGCAUUGCACUUCUGAAGAUUGUAAAGAUGCA